AGGACGAACGCUGGCGGCGUGCCUAAUACAUGCAAGUAGAACGCUGAAGAGAGGAGCUUGCUCUUCUUGGAUGAGUUGCGAACGGGUGAGUAACGCGUAGGUAACCUGCCUUGUAGCGGGGGAUAACUAUUGGAAACGAUAGCUAAUACCGCAUAACAAUGAAUGACACAUGUCAUUUAUUUGAAAGGGGCAAUUGCUCCACUACAAGAUGGACCUGCGUUGUAUUAGCUAGUAGGUGAGGUAACGGCUCACCUAGGCGACGAUACAUAGCCGACCUGAGAGGGUGAUCGGCCACACUGGGACUGAGACACGGCCCAGACUCCUACGGGAGGCAGCAGUAGGGAAUCUUCGGCAAUGGGGGCAACCCUGACCGAGCAACGCCGCGUGAGUGAAGAAGGUUUUCGGAUCGUAAAGCUCUGUUGUAAGUCAAGAACGAGUGUGAGAGUGGAAAGUUCACACUGUGACGGUAGCUUACCAGAAAGGGACGGCUAACUACGUGCCAGCAGCCGCGGUAAUACGUAGGUCCCGAGCGUUGUCCGGAUUUAUUGGGCGUAAAGCGAGCGCAGGCGGUUUGAUAAGUCUGAAGUUAAAGGCUGUGGCUCAACCAUAGUUCGCUUUGGAAACUGUCAAACUUGAGUGCAGAAGGGGAGAGUGGAAUUCCAUGUGUAGCGGUGAAAUGCGUAGAUAUAUGGAGGAACACCGGUGGCGAAAGCGGCUC
rnacentral:rRNA from 1 species